AUUAAGAAUUUUUAAAUUUAAUUUUAAGUGAAAAUCCAGCAUUGAUUUGGUUGUAAUUUUUAACUUGGUCUGUAGGUUUAUUUUAUCAUAUAGUUAAUUCUAUUUUGGAUAUUCCAUAGUUGUACUGCAUUUGAAAGAAACAACAUAAUGAGUUAGUCAUUUGUUAUGUGUACUUUGUGUCUAUCCCUGUGUUCACGUUCUAGAGUAUAGCCAUCUCUGUGACCUACCAAACAUCUCUGUAUCUCAGUUCAGUUUUUCUACGUAGCACUGUAAAGCAUUGUCAUGGAACUUCCUGUUAUUUAUAGAGACAAAGUUACUGGCUCUGAUCCUGCCAUGAGUUGUGUUACUCAGAGAUCUUAUUCUGUUACUGCAGCUGCCAAUAAUCUAGCUUAACUGUAUUUUGAUAUUUGAUUCUUUAUAGAACUUCAGUUUAUGCAAAAUUUGAAUAUAUUUAGGCAGAAAGUGAUAUUUUGAAUAUAGCAAAAUUCCUUUCUAUCCUGGGUAGAUAAGCAACUAUAUGCUGGAUAAUUGAAUAUUCAGAAUUAUGGAUACCAUCUAAGAAUUUCAGAGAAUUAGAGCGCACUAAAACAUCCUGGGAUGAUGGCUAUUCCUUGCUGAAUUUUUUUUCAGCAACCUUUUAAUAUAAUGACUAGCAGUUUACAAACAGAAGCAUGUGAUUUUCAGAACUAUGUAAAUAUUAACCUGAUUAACCACAACUGCUGGGUUUUGCUUUGGUAGCAGUACUCACUGAAAUAUGUUUUCAGUUAAAAAGGUUAGUUCACUGUUGGGUAAGUUACAAGAAGGAGUCAAAGAUUAUAAAAAUCCACCCAAAGUACGGGUAUUGUCUUGUACCUAAGUAAGCACAUAAUUUAGAUGCCAGCUUUAAAUAGUUAACUAUAUGCUUACUGUGGAGUGCACCAAUGAAACAACUCAUUUUGUUCUUUUGGCUUCUCAAUACUUCUUUGUGACAAAGCAUCACUGUAUAAGAUAAAUAGUAGCUUAUUUUGUGAGUAUGGUUGCUCUAUGUAGCAAGCAGUUGUGACCCAAAGCAACCCAUAAAUUACAGAUUUAGUGGGAGAACUGGACAGUUAACAACGUCACUUUUGCUUUGGACUACUACUUAGGUCCCUUAAAGUGGUGCCAGUGCCACAGAACUGAAGAUUCCUGACUUUGUAGGGAAUAUACCAUCUAAUUUUAAGUUUCAAUAGAGUAACUUUGAUUUUUAGUGAGUUGUUGGGAAAUCCUUUAGAUCAUUAGUUAUGCAGCAAAAUUGCUUGGUUUUAAUAAUCAUAUGUACUGGCUUAUUCUUUCUGAAGGUAAGCUACUUCGGAAGCACAACUAUUGACUAAAAACUAAACCUUCGAAAGAAAUGACAGCAUUGCUAGUUUUUUGUGUGCGUGGUUUUUUUUGGCGGGGGGCGGGGGGUACUAUAUUAAGGUUAGUUUCCAACAAGAAUUGAUGCAGUUGGAAGAAAUUGACUUCCUUACGUAUUGCCUCUGAUAUUUACUUGCUUAAAUUUUUUUUUUAUUGGAAAUGGAGUUGGCAGAAAAAAUGGAUUUAGAGAACAACACUAACUCCCACCUAAUCUAUGACAGAGAUGUAGAAGAGAGUACCUGUUAAAAAUUGUGGAAGUAUCUUAAAAAUGUAACCUUUGGCAGCCUGAGCAUAAUCAACCAGAAAAACUAUCUGAAUUAAAAUAAUUGGUCCAUAGGUACUAUUUUAUUUGGUCCAUAAGGAUUAUUUUUUCAACUUUUAUUUCAAGUGUGUUAUGUCAUUUCCAACAUAGGUUACUGAUACCUGAAGACUUUUUCCAUCUUUACCUUACUCGUUUAGGGGCUUUGUAGUCUAAUAAAAGAUAAAUCUUAAGUAAAUGUUAGAUAUAUGGGUGGAUAAUGGUAACUAUGUGCUUAAAGAGGUAUAAAAGAAGGGUAGGGAGCAGAUAAGACAAAGGAAGGGCUAUAUUAUAAGGAAGAAUAUUCCAAGUAGGGGAGAGAAAAAGAUAUGUUACCCAUGUAAUAUUUUAUGUGCAGUAGAGAACAUGUUCUAUAGAAGAGACAGAAGAUGAAACUAGAUGGGCACCCAGAUCAUAAAGCACCGUAUGUACUUAGGAGUUGGAAUUAUCUUAAAAACUAUCGUAGAUUUCAAGCAGGGGAGUAACAUUUUUAAAAGACCACUUCAUCAUUAGGAUGGAGGGAUAAUCAUUAGUAAGCUAUUGCCAUAAUCUAGGCUGAAGAUACAUCGUGAACUAAGAGAGUAGUGACAGUGGACGUAAAGGAGAGGCUAAUUCAAGAAAUUUUAAAUAUCUUACUUGAUAACUGUCUUGACUCUGAGAUGAGAGAGGAAGAAGUCGAUGAUGAGAUCCUGGUUUAUGGCUUUCAGUUAUGGCUUGCUAUUAAUAAACAGGAAAAAAGGGAUUGAGGAGACAAGUUUCAGUUUUGGACGCAUGAGAUGAGAUAUCCAAGUAGAAAUAUCAGUAGGCAUUUGAAUAUAUGCCCUGGAAUGAAUAACUGCACCAGAGAUAUAUUUUGCAACUCAAAUUUUUAUGGGUCGGCAGUUAAGAGUAGAAAAUCAACCUAUAAGAAUACCAACAUUUUUAGCUGGGUGUAGUGGCGCAUGCCUGUAAUCCCAGCUUCUUUGGAGGCUGAGGCCCGAGAAUUUACUUGAACCUGGAGGUGGAGGUUACAGUGAGCCGAGAUGACACCACUACACUCCAGCCUGGGCGACAGCACCACUUAAAAAAAAGAAUACCAACGUUUUAUUGCCACAGAAGAGCUGAGGCACUGUGAGGGAGCAACUUUGCACUGAUGAGAGCAAAACAAGUAGAAGGUUUCUGAAAAAAUCUAAUAUAAAUUCUGGACUUGUAAGAUUUGAGUCGAUUUGCUGAUCACAGUGUUCCUUAUUCUUUGGGGGUUUUGUUUCUUUUUGGUGUAGUUUGCUGCUGAUUCAUAAUAGAAUUUAAAUAUCAUAGGGUCUCAAUUUUUUAUAUGGCCUAGUUUCAUUAUCUCUGAACCUCGUAGUUCUUCCUCUUUUGGUAUGGCAGAACUUUAGUGUUAAAUUGUAACAUUGAAAUAUUUGCCUUCUUUAUAAAGUUCUUUUUUUGAACAAGCGAAACGAAAUUUGGCUUUGCCUAAAUCCCAUCAGCAGAUUGCCUUUAUUCAGAAGCAGUCGUAGACAGCAUUUGAUUUUAUGAAAAUUGAAAUGAAAGCUUACAAAGAACUUCUGGAAUUAGGUUAUUAAAACUUCAAUGUUUGGGGCUGGGCGUGGUGGCUCACGACUGUAAUCUCAGCACUUUGGGAGGCCAAGGUGGGUGGAUCACUGGAGCUCAGCAGUUUGAGACCAGCCUCUCAACUAAAAAGACAAAAAAAACUCCGUCUCUACUGAAAAGACAAAAAAAAUUAGCCAACUGUAGUUCCAGCUCACUCCUGUAGUUCCAGCUACUCAGGAGGCUGAGGUGGGAGAAUCACCUGAUCCCAGGAGGCAGAGGGUUACAGUGAGCCAAGAUUGUGCCACUGCACUCCAGUCUGGGCGACAGAGCAAGACCCUGUCUCAAAAAGAACAAAAACAACCAUAUAACUAUUUAACAAAGAUACGUUAAUCUAAUAAACUCAGGUCACAUUCUAAGUGACCUGAGUGUUUUUCUAGUUCCAUAUUUUGUAAAAAUAUGAAAAAGGGCUGGGCACAGUGGCUGAUACCUGUAAUCCCAGCACUUUGGGAGGCUGAGGCAGGUGGAUCACCUGGGGUCAGGAGUUAGAGUUCAGCCAACAUGAUGAAGCCCCAUUGCUACUAAAAAUAAAAAAUUAGCUGGGCACGUUGGUGCACACCUGUAAUCCAAGCUAUUGAGGCAGCUGAAGCAGGAGAAUCUCUUGAACCUGGGAGGCGGAGCUUGCAGUGAGCUGAGGUCACACCAUUUUACUCGAGCUUGGGCAGCACACAGCAAGAUGAGAUUCUGCGUCUCGUUUGUCCCCCUUCCCGUUCCCAUUCCCCCCGCCCUCCACCCCCACAAAAAAAAAAAAAAGGAAAGACUUGGGAGUUGGAGAAGGACUCAAUUUAAAUAAGCUCUGGCUGGGUACGGUAGCUCACGCCUAUAAUCAGCACAUUUUGGGAGGCCAAGAUGGGUGGAUCACAAGGUCAGGAGGCCGCAAGACUAGCCUGGCCAACACGGUGAAACCCAGUCUCUACUAAAAAUACAAAAA